AACUUAAACGCCGCCAGGUACCCAACUCUGAACACUGCUGCUUUUGUGCUCGGUCUGAAUCUGUUGAGCAUGCUCUGCUGUUUUGCCCACAUGCCAGGGACGUGUGGGAUAUCGUCAAAGAGGAAUAUAAUUUCAGCCUGCACCGUGGCACUUUUCUGUCUCCAAGGCAAUGGAUUUUUGACUUCUUGGCAAGGUCGUCUGAUCAGCAUCUUUUCCUUCCAGUAUCUGAACACAGGCGUGAAACCAAUGCGUCCAGCUCCAACUGGUCUCCGCCGCCGUCAGGUACCAUUAUGUUCUACUCAGACGCUGCAACUUUCUCAAACCUGGAUAAGUCCGGCAUUGGGGUCGUCGGCAGGGUUGACGGAGGUCAAUUCGUGGUGGCCUGUAGCGAGCCUAUUGCGGGUAGCUUGGAACCUGAAAUGGCUGAGGCCAUGGCUCUUCGACGUGCUGUUCUUUUGGCGCAUGAUGAACAAGUAUCAGAUGUUAUCUUCGCCGCUGACUGUCUCUCACUUGUGCAAAGGAUCAACUCGCCUAUGAGGGACCGUUCUUCAAUUGGAGUGGUGGUGGCUGAUAUCAAGUCUUUGUCUGAAGGUUUCUCUUCAGUGUCCUUCAAACAUGUUCGUCGGCAUUUAAAUGUUCCUGCUCA